AGAGUUUGAUCCUGGCUCAGGACGAACGCUGGCGGCGUGCCUAACACAUGCAAGUCGAACGAGAAUCUUUGAACAGAACUUUUCGGAGUGACGUUCAAAGAGGAAAGUGGCGGACGGGCGAGUAACGCGUGAGUAACCUGCCCAUAAGAGGGGGAUAAUCCAUGGAAACGUGGACUAAUACCGCAUAUUGUAGUUAAGUUGCAUGACUUGAUUAUGAAAGAUUUAUCGCUUAUGGAUGGACUCGCGUCAGAUUAGAUAGUUGGCGAGGUAACGGCUCACCAAGUCAACGAUCUGUAGCCGAACUGAGAGGUUGAUCGGCCGCAUUGGGACUGAGACACGGCCCAGACUCCUACGGGAGGCAGCAGUGGGGAAUAUUGCGCAAUGGGGGCAACCCUGACGCAGCAACGCCGCGUGCAGGAAGAAGGUCUUCGGAUUGUAAACUGUUGUCGCAAGGGAAGAAGACAGUGACGGUACCUUGUGAGAAAGUCACGGCUAACUACGUGCCAGCAGCCGCGGUAAUACGUAGGUGACAAGCGUUGUCCGGAUUUACUGGGUGUAAAGGGCGCGUAGGCGGACUGUCAAGUCAGUCGUGAAAUACCGGGGCUUAACCCCGGGGCUGCGAUUGAAACUGACAGCCUUGAGUAUCGGAGAGGAAAGCGGAAUUCCUAGUGUAGCGGUGAAAUGCGUAGAUAUUAGGAGGAACACCAGUGGCGAAGGCGGCUUUCUGGACGACAACUGACGCUGAGGCGCGAAAGUGUGGGGAGCAAACAGGAUUAGAUACCCUGGUAGUCCACACCGUAAACGA
rnacentral:rRNA from 1 species